rnacentral:rRNA from 1 species
UGCCAGACUCCUACGGGAGGCAGCAGUGGGGAAUAUUGCACAAUGGGGGGAACCCUGAUGCAGCGACGCCGCGUGGGUGAAGGAGCACCUCGGUGCGUAAAGCCCUCUCGGCAGGGAAGAAACAGACGGUACCUGACUAAGAAGCCCCGGCUAACUACGUGCCAGCAGCCGCGGUAAUACGUAGGGGGCAAGCGUUAUCCGGAUUUACUGGGUGUAAAGGGGGCGCAGACGGCGAUGCAAGCCAGGAGUGAAAGCCCGGGGCCCAACCCCGGGACUGCUCUUGGAACUGCGUGGCUGGAGUGCAGGAGGGGCAGGCGGAAUUCCUAGUGUAGCGGUGAAAUGCGUAGAUAUUAGGAGGAACACCGGUGGCGAAGGCGGCCUGCUGGACUGUGACUGACGUUGAGGCUCGAAAGCGUGGGGAGCAAACAGGAUUAGAUACCCCGGUAAU